rnacentral:rRNA from 1 species
UACGUAGGGCGCAAGCGUUAUCCGGAAUUAUUGGGCGUAAAGAGCUCGUAGGCGGUUUGUCGCGUCUGCCGUGAAAAGUCCGGGGGCUCAACUCCGGAUCUGCGGUGGGGUACGGGGCAGACUAGAGUGAUGUAGGGGGAGACUGGAAUUCCUGGUGUAGCGGUGAAAUGCGCAGAUAUCAGGAGGAACACCGGUGGCGAAAAGCGGCUUCCUGGUCCAGCACCGACGUUCAGGCACGAAAGCGUGGGGAGCAAACAGG